rnacentral:rRNA from 1 species
CUCAACCCCGGAACUGCAUUCGAUACUGGUUGGCUAGAGUUCGGGAGGGGGAUGCGGAAUUCCGAGUGUAGCAGUGAAAUGCGUAGGGAUUCGGAGGAACACCGGAGGCGAAGGCGGCAUCCUGGACCGACACUGACGCUGAGGCCCGAAAGCGUGGGUAGCAAACAGGAUUAGAUACCCUGGUAGUCCACGCCCUAAACGAUGUCUACUAGCCGUUGCGGGUAUCGACCCCUGCAGUGGCGAAGCCAACGCGAUAAGUAGACCGCCUGGGGAGUACGGCCGCAAGGUUAAAACUCAAAGGAAUUGACGGGGGCCCGCACAAGCGGUGGAGCAUGUGGUUUAAUUCGACGCAACGCGAAGAACCUUACCUGGGCUUGACAUCCUCGGAAUCCCCUAGAGAUAGGGGAGUGCCUUCGGGAGCCG